rnacentral:rRNA from 1 species
GAUGAACGCUGGCGGCGUGCCUAAUACAUGCAAGUCGAGCGAACAGACGAGGAGCUUGCUCCUCUGACGUUAGCGGCGGACGGGUGAGUAACACGUGGAUAACCUACCUAUAAGACUGGGAUAACUUCGGGAAACCGGAGCUAAUACCGGAUAAUAUCUUGAACCGCAUGGUUCAAUAGUGAAAGUCGGUUUUGCUGUCACUUAUAGCUGGAUCCGCGCCGCAUUGGCUGGUUGGUAAGGUAACGGCUUACGAAGGCAACGAUGCGUGGCCGACCGGAGAGGGUGGUCGGCCACACUGGAACUGAGACACGGUCCAGGCUCCUACGGGAGGCAGCAGUAGGGAAUCGUACGCAAUGGGCGAAAGCCUGACGGAGCAACGGCGCGUGAGUGAUGAAGGUCUUCGGAUCGGAAAACUCUGUUAUUAGGGGAGAACAAAUGUGUAAGUAACUAUGCACGUCUUGACGGUACCUAAUCAGAAAGCCACGGCUAACUACGUG